AAAGAUGGUUGACCAUAGAACAUGCGCUGUCUCUGUGCCGUAUGUAAUAUGGUCCACGUCUUCU
rfam:Callithrix jacchus chromosome 10, whole genome shotgun sequence